rnacentral:rRNA from 1 species
AACGAACGCUGGCGGCAGGCUUAACACAUGCAAGUCGAACGCCCCGCAAGGGGAGUGGCAGACGGGUGAGUAACGCGUGGGAAUCUACCCAUCUCUGCGGAAUAGCUCUGGGAAACUGGAAUUCAUACCGCAUACGACCUACGGGGGAAAGAUUUAUCGGGGAUGGAUGAGCCCGCGUUGGAUUAGCUAGUUGGUGGGGUAAAGGCCUACCAAGGCGACGAUCCAUAGCUGGUCUGAGAGGAUGAUCAGCCACAUUGGGACUGAGACACGGCCCAAACUCCUACGGGAGGCAGCAGUGGGGAAUAUUGGACAAUGGGCGCAAGCCUGAUCCAGCCAUGCCGCGUGAGUGAUGAAGGCCUUAGGGCUGUAAAGCUCUUUCACCGAUGAAGAUAAUGACGGUAGUCGGAGAAGAAGCCCCGGCUAACUUCGUGCCAGCCGCCGCCGUAA